CUGUACCACGUCCACCCUCAGCACAGCCCCAGGGACAGCAUGCUGGGGCAGGGGGUGGGGGGGAGGUCCUGGGAAGGGGCAGUGGAGGAAGCGAAGGACUGGUUAGGGGCUGCGGGUCCAGGUGGGCAGGCUGAGUCCAGGGCACAUGACUCAGCAGGGCUGAGUUUAGAAGACACCAGGAAGGAAGGUCUUGCGGGCGGGAGAAGGGUCAGGAGCGACAGGACGGGGAGUUCUCUGAGGGACAGAGAUCUGGACAUCCGCCCUGUCAGCCCCUCCCCGGCACACCUGUCAGGCUCGUGACACCCCCACCCCCAGCCCAGCCCAGCUCAGACGCCACCUCUCCUUCUCCAGCGUCUGGGACUCACUCCGUCUGCCCUCCCACAAGCCUGCCUAAGUUAUGCGCUCUUUCUGGCCUUUCGGCUCCCGCUGCGAUGUGUGUCUUUUUCUAAGCACUUUGCGCCUGGUAGAGACGGUGUCUCUUCCUCCCCGACUGCUUCGCUUCCCGCCUGCGCCUGAUCUACUCGGCCCCCUCCCUCCAAGUCAGGACUGUGACAGUGAUACUUGAAAAGAAGAGGGGAGAGGAAAGCCCUUUUUAACAGAAGAAUGCCAGCUAAGAAAUGGAGAAGGAAUGAUGGCAGUGGAAAAACACCAUGUUGGAGCCACCACUGUCACAACCGACUCAGGGACCCCUGGUACCUUUACAAUGGAGAGGUUUGCCAGCCCAGUGGGUCCCACCAGUGGGCCAAACUGACAUUCUGCACCUUCCACUGGGAUGCGAUGGAAACACAUCCUCAGAAUUUCUUGGCCAAACUCCCUUUGGGACUCCCUGACUGGCUUGGAACAGGUGGCAAAGCCGACUGAGUCUGCUGGUGACUUGGGAGUUUGCUAAACUAGAGGUACCUGUGACCCAAACCAUGUGUAGUGAAGUCUCCCAGACGCUCCGGCUGCGGCCGCGGAAGGUACUGAGCUGCGUCUCCAUGGCCAGGGACUCUCCCAGCAGGAAGAUGAGGAACCACAGCCCCUCGCCCAGCCCAUCCUUCGCCUUGCCCUCUAAAGCGCCAAACCUGUGGGAGUUCCCGCCUCGUUACAAUCCCCCAGUGGCUCCCAUCGCUGCUGAAGGCUCUGUGAGGCCCGGCCCUGCCUACUUCGCACCUGGGCAUUAGCGGCACCGAAUGCCUUGCCGUCUCUCCAAUACUCUCCACUCUCCCUCCCUGGGCUGUUGGAUGCGCUGUCCUGCUUCCCGGAGCCCUGCCCGCCCUACUCUUCCCACGGUUAACAGGGCCACUCCGGUUACCUAACAGGAGCAUUCCCCACGCGGCUGGCUCAGGGCCUGGCCUUAAACAAGGGAUCCAUAAAUGACGGCUGUCAGUGAUUUUGGUCUCCGUACCCGGG